GCGCGCAUGCACCUCAGGACGGCAGCAGGGGCUUGCGCGUGCGCAGACGGGAGACGCAAUUCUAUUUGAGGUCGCGCACCCCCCUCCCUCCCCCGUUGCCCUCACGGCUGUGGUGUCAUCGGCGCUUGGCCGGUCUCAGCCGCCCGUCGCGGCGGUGACUCGAGUCCCUCUGCCGCCUGCCAUGCCCAUUGCUCGGCUGGCUGCUGCGGAGGCGGAGCACUGAGGGGAGCCGCCGGCGAAGGCGCGGGGCAUGGCAGAGUUCCCGCCGGUGCCGCUCUCCCUGCGGGAGGAGCCCCCGGCCGCCCGCUCUGGCUCCGAGUCUGAGUCGGAGGCCGAGCUGUCGCAGAGCCUGGCCCGCACCAAGAUCCGCUCGUACGGCAGCACGGCCAGCGUAGCGGCCCCCCUGGCGGAGCGCUACCUGGAGCAUCGCCUCAGCGCCGGCGACACGCUGCAGGGCAUCGCGCUCAAGUAUGGAGUUACGAUGGAACAAAUAAAAAGGGCAAAUAAACUAUUUACUAAUGACUGUAUAUUCCUGAGAGAAACGCUGAAUAUUCCAGUUAUAUCAGAGAAGCCGUUACUGUUCAAUGGACUUAAUUCGCUGGAAUCGCCUGAGAAUGAAAUUAUUGACAUUUCUCUUUGUGGUGAAGGACCAAUGACAGUUCAGGAAGAGAGUAGUUCUUCUUCUCCCAGUCCUCAAGAACCUGACAAUCAACCUGCUGCACCCGAAGAACUAUCUGCCAAAGAUUUUCUACAUAGACUGGACUUGCAGAUUAAGUUGUCAAAACAGGCAGUCAAGAAACUAAAAGAUGAAGAUAUCAGUUUGCAGAGAUGGAAGAAAAGCAACAUUUGUUAUGUUGCUACAUCUUGAACCAGGGAGUAGAAGAAUGGAUCUGAGGUCUGAGUAAAGAAGACAGCAACAGCAGCAGAGGAUUGGCUCCAAAAUUCCAAAAACUAUCACCUUUCUCCUGCCAGCAUGCUUCUGCUAGUGUGAUAUGCAGGCUAAUGGGACACUGCAUGUGUGCUCCAGUACCAUCAGCCAAAAGAGAAAUGUAGAGAGACAGCAAUGAAAUCAAGAAGCCUUUGAGGAUAUGUUGUGUGUUCCAAGAGCUAUUAAAUCAAGGGCUUUGAUUAGUGUUCCUUUUACAACUGUUGGAUGCUUGGUAAAAGAGGGGGUUAAAGUAUCAAAUGAAUUCUCAUUGUCAUGUGUGCUGUAAGCAACGGCUAAUGUUCAUUAUUUGUGGGUGAGAGGCAUUUGUACAGAGAUCUGUACAGAUGUCCUUCUGUACCUGCAGUGUGUGUUGGGCUGAGGGUGGCAGGUGCAAGUUGAGAUAAACAGCGCUAUAAAAAUGUUGUAAUGCUUUCUUUCCGUUCUCCUUUCCUAACGGAGGAAGUGAGAAAGUAACUUAUCACUUGUCUUCAUUUUAGUGUAUUUAGAAAUCUCUUUAAUAAAACUUUCCAUUUUGUUUUUAAUGAAAAAAUGUGUGGUCACUAAAAUCUGUGGCAAACUUAUGUAUUAAUAUUGUGAUAUGUGCCCAAGUGUUCAUUUGGGGCACACGUCUCCCUGAAAGGUGUAAUAUAUGCAGCCUGAAUUACCUUCAACCUUUGGUAGAAGGUGUAUAUCUUAAAUCUGUCCUUGUACAGUCAUAACUUGCACUUCUGAAAAUUGUUUAAGAUUAAAGAUAAUUUCUGUGAUUUUGAA